rnacentral:rRNA from 1 species
GUUGGCUUAGAAGCAGCCAUCAUUUAAAGAAAGCGUAAUAGCUCACUAGUCGAGUCGGCCUGCGCGGAAGAUGUAACGGGGCUAAGCAAUACACCGAAGCUGCGGCAAUGUCUUUUAGAUAUUGGGUAGGGGAGCGUUCUGUAAGCCGUUGAAGGUGAAUCGUAAGGUUUGCUGGAGGUAUCAGAAGUGCGAAUGCUGACAUGAGUAACGACAAAGGGGGUGAAAAACCUCCUCGCCGGAAGACCAAGGGUUCCUGUCCAACGUUAAUCGGGGCAGGGUGAGUCGACCCCUAAGGUGAGGCCGAAAGGCGUAAUCGAUGGGAAACGGGUUAAUAUUCCCGUACUUCUGACUAUUGCGAUGGGGGGACGGAGAAGGCUAGGUGGGCCAGGCGACGGUUGUCCUGGUUCAAGUGCGUAGGCUUGAGAGUUAGGUAAAUCCGGCUCUCUUUAAGGCUGAGACACGACGUCGAGCUGCUACGGCAGUGAAGUCAUUGAUGCCAUGCUUCCAGGAAAAGCCUCUAAGCUUCAGAUAGUCAGGAAUCGUACCCCAAACCGACACAGGUGGUCGGGUAGAGAAUACCAAGGCGCUUGAGAGAACUCGGGUGAAGGAACUAGGCAAAAUGGUACCGUAACUUCGGGAGAAGGUACGCUCUUGAUGGUGAAGUCCCUCGCGGAUGGAGCUGACGAGAGUCGCAGAUACCAGGUGGCUGCAACUGUUUAUUAAAAACACAGCACUGUGCAAAAUCGCAAGAUGACGUAUACGGUGUGACGCCUGCCCGGUGCCGGAAGGUUAAUUGAUGGGGUUAGCGUAAGCGAAGCUCUUGAUCGAAGCCCCGGUAAACGGCGGCCGUAACUAUAACGGUCCUAAGGUAGCGAAAUUCCUUGUCGGGUAAGUUCCGACCUGCACGAAUGGCGUAAUGAUGGCCACGCUGUCUCCACCCGAGACUCAGUGAAAUUGAAAUCGCUGUGAAGAUGCAGUGUACCCGCGGCUAGACGGAAAGACCCCGUGAACCUUUACUACAGCUUGGCACUGAACAUUGAACCUACAUGUGUAGGAUAGGUGGGAGGCUAUGAAGACGUGACGCCAGUUGCGUUGGAGCCGUCCUUGAAAUACCACCCUUGUAUGUUUGAUGUUCUAACUUAGACCCAUUAUCUGGGUUGAGGACAGUGCCUGGUGGGUAGUUUGACUGGGGCGGUCUCCUCCCAAAGAGUAACGGAGGAGCACGAAGGUGGGCUAAUCACGGUUGGACAUCGUGAGGUUAGUGCAAUGGCAUAAGCCCGCUUAACUGCGAGAAUGACGGUUCGAGCAGGUGCGAAAGCAGGUCAUAGUGAUCCGGUGGUUCUGUAUGGAAGGGCCAUCGCUCAACGGAUAAAAGGUACUCCGGGGAUAACAGGCUGAUACCGCCCAAGAGUUCAUAUCGACGGCGGUGUUUGGCACCUCGAUGUCGGCUCAUCACAUCCUGGGGCUGAAGUCGGUCCCAAGGGUAUGGCUGUUCGCCAUUUAAAGUGGUACGCGAGCUGGGUUUAGAACGUCGUGAGACAGUUCGGUCCCUAUCUGCCGUGGGCGUUGGAAGAUUGAAGGGGGCUGCUCCUAGUACGAGAGGACCGGAGUGGACGAACCUCUGGUGUUCGGGUUGUGUCGCCAGACGCAUUGCCCGGUAGCUAAGUUCGGAAUUGAUAAGCGCUGAAAGCAUCUAAGCGCGAAGCGAGCCCUGAGAUGAGUCUUCCCUGAUACUUUAAGUAUCCUAAAGGGUUGUUCGAGACUAGAACGUUGAUAGGCAGGGUGUGUAAGCGUUGUGAGGCGUUGAGCUAACCUGUACUAAUUGCCCGUGAGGCUUAACCAUACAACACCCA